rnacentral:rRNA from 1 species
GCUGGCGGCACGCCUAAUACAUGCAAGUCGAACGAAGUAGCAAUACUUAGUGGCAGACGGGUGAGUAACAUGUAGGUAUCUUCCCUUUGGUGAGGAAUAACACGAGGAAACUUGUGCUAAUACCUCAUAAGUCUUUACGGAGAAAGCUUUAUGCGCCAUUGGAUGAGCCUGCACUUGAUUAGUUAGUUGGUAGGGUAAUGGCCUACCAAGACAUUGAUCAAUAGCUGAUUUGAGAGGAUGAUCAGCCACAUUGGGACUGAGACACGGCCCAAACUCCUACGGGAGGCAGCAGUAGGGAAUCUUGCACAAUGGAGGAAACUCUGAUGCAGCGAUGCCGCGUGAGUGAAGAAGGCCUUUGGGUUGUAAAGCUCUUUCGUCGGGGAAGAAAAUGACUGUACCCGAAUAAGAAGGUCCGGCUAACUUCGUGCCAGCAGCCGCGGUAAUACGAAGGGACCUAGCGUAGUUCGGAAUUACUGGGCUUAAAGAGUUCGUAGGUGGUUAAAAAAGUUGGUGGUGAAAUCCCAGAGCUUAACUCUGGAACUGCCAUCAAAACUUUUUAGCUAGAGUUUGAUAGAGGAAAGCAGAAUUUCUAGUGUAGAGGUGAAAUUCGUAGAUAUUAGAAAGAAUACCGAUUGCGAAGGCAGCUUUCUGGAUCAUUACUGACACUGAGGAACGAAAGCAUGGGUAGCGAAGAGGAUUAGAUACCCUCGUAGUCCAUGCUGUAAACGAUGUGUGUUAGACGUUGGAAAUUUAUUUUCAGUGUCGCAGCGAAAGCAAUAAACACACCGCCUGGGGAGUACG